rnacentral:rRNA from 1 species
GGAAGACCAAGGGUUCCUGUCCAACGUUAAUCGGGGCAGGGUGAGUCGACCCCUAAGGCGAGGCCGAAAGGCGUAGUCGAUGGGAAACAGGUUAAUAUUCCUGUACUUGGUGUUACUGCGAAGGGGGGACGGAGAAGGCUAUGUUGGCCGGGCGACGGUUGUCCCGGUUUAAGCGUGUAGGCUGGUUUUCCAGGCAAAUCCGGAAAAUCAAGGCUGAGGCGUGAUGACGAGGCACUACGGUGCUGAAGCAACAAAUGCCCUGCUUCCAGGAAAAGCCUCUAAGCAUCAGGUAACAUCAAAUCGUACCCCAAACCGACACAGGUGGUCAGGUAGAGAAUACCAAGGCGCUUGAGAGAACUCGGGUGAAGGAACUAGGCAAAAUGGUGCCGUAACUUCGGGAGAAGGCACGCUGAUAUGUAGGUGAAGUCCCUCGCGGAUGGAGCUGAAAUCAGUCGAAGAUACCAGCUGGCUGCAACUGUUUAUUAAAAACACAGCACUGUGCAAACACGAAAGUGGACGUAUACGGUGUGACGCCUGCCCGGUGCCGGAAGGUUAAUUGAUGGGGUCAGCGCAAGCGAAGCUCUUGAUCGAAGCCCCGGUAAACGGCGGCCGUAACUAUAACGGUCCUAAGGUAGCGAAAUUCCUUGUCGGGUAAGUUCCGACCUGCACGAAUGGCGUAAUGAUGGCCAGGCUGUCUCCACCCGAGACUCAGUGAAAUUGAACUCGCUGUGAAGAUGCAGUGUACCCGCGGCAAGACGGAAAGACCCCGUGAACCUUUACUAUAGCUUGACACUGAACAUUGAGCCUUGAUGUGUAGGAUAGGUGGGAGGCUUUGAAGUGUGGACGCCAGUCUGCAUGGAGCCGACCUUGAAAUACCACCCUUUAAUGUUUGAUGUUCUAACGUUGACCCGUGAUCCGGGUUGCGGACAGUGUCUGGUGGGUAGUUUGACUGGGGCGGUCUCCUCCUAAAGAGUAACGGAGGAGCACGAAGGUUGGCUAAUCCUGGUCGGACAUCAGGAGGUUAGUGCAAUGGCAUAAGCCAGCUUGACUGCGAGCGUGACGGCGCGAGCAGGUGCGAAAGCAGGUCAUAGUGAUCCGGUGGUUCUGAAUGGAAGGGCCAUCGCUCAACGGAUAAAAGGUACUCCGGGGAUAACAGGCUGAUACCGCCCAAGAGUUCAUAUCGACGGCGGUGUUUGGCACCUCGAUGUCGGCUCAUCACAUCCUGGGGCUGAAGUAGGUCCCAAGGGUAUGGCUGUUCGCCAUUUAAAGUGGUACGCGAGCUGGGUUUAGAACGUCGUGAGACAGUUCGGUCCCUAUCUGCCGUGGGCGCUGGAGAACUGAGGGGGGCUGCUCCUAGUACGAGAGGACCGGAGUGGACGCAUCACUGGUGUUCGGGUUGUCAUGCCAAUGGCACUGCCCGGUAGCUAAAUGCGGAAGAGAUAAGUGCUGAAAGCAUCUAAGCACGAAACUUGCC